AUAAAUACUGAUAAAGUUGAGGAAUGCACAUCAAACACUUAUUUGGAACAUCCCACAGGUGUGCAGGCUAAUUGGGAACAGGUGGGUGCCAUGAUUGGGUAUAAAAACAGCUUCCAAAAAAAUGCUCAGUCUUUCACAAGAAAGGAUGGGGCGAGGUACACUCCUUUGUCUACAACUGCGUGAGCAAAUUGUUGUGUACAGGCAAAGGGAAAGAGGCAACACCAGGACUGAACUGCGGUUUUAGAAGGUUUAUUAAAACCUUUGAUGAAUGUGUGGGGUGUGGAUGCUACCACUAGAGAAUGAAUGCGGACGAUGUGUGGAAAUAACAAUGUGGAAUUUACCAGAGGGUGUUGUCUUUGAGUGUUGGAUGUAUCUUUCGUCGAAUCCAAGGGGGAAGGCAAAGAGGCAGUCAACAGUGAGGCAAGCGGUCGGGGGCUGGAGGGAGGCAACGAUGUCCGGUUCUAAGCAGUGGUCAAGGAUCAGGGAGGGCAAGCAAAGAUCCAGGAGGAGGUCGUGAGGCAGGACACGAUCACAGAAGACACUGUGGGAAACACAAAAGACAUCAAGUUGGGACAGAGGAAGAGCAGAAGAAGGCGAGCAAAGAAAAAGGGAGUGGUGCCAGACGUGAUGCUUACACAAGGGAGAUUGGCUACGAUCUGGCGAAGGCUCGUUGCCGCGUGGGCGUGCUGCGCUCAGCACAAGUGGGGACGUGUCUGAGCAUGCUGUCAACGGAGGAACGCCUUGGCGCGCUGUCAGUGGAGGCGUCCGCAGAUCCAGCCGCAGAGGAAACGCGGGUUCGACUCCGUGCCAUGACACAAAUAGUCAAACAGUUUAACAAAUUUAGGGAUUUCAACAUCUAUGGUUCAUAAUAUCAUCAAAAGGUUCAGAGAAUCUGGAGAAAUCACUCCACGUAAGCGGCAUGGCCGGAAACCAACAUUGAAGGACCGUGACCUUCGAUCACUCAGAUGGCACUGUAUCAAAGCAGACAUCAAUCUCUAAAUGAUAUAAACACAUGGGCUCAGGAACAUUUCAGAAAACCACUGUCAAUAAAUACAGUUGGUCGCUACAUCUGUAAGUCCUAGUUAAAGCUCUGCUAUGCAAAGCGAAAGCCAUUUAUCAACAACAUCCAGAAACGCCACCGGCUUCUCUAAAAUGGACCGGUGCAAAGUUGAAAAGUGUUCUGUGGUCUGACGAGUCCACAUUUCAAAUUAUUUUUGAAAAUAUUCGACAUUGUGUCAUCCGGACCAAAAGGGAAGCGAACCAUCCAAACUGUUAUCGACGCAAAGUUCAAAAGCCAGGAUCUGUGAUGGUAUGGGGGUGCAUUAGUGCCCAAGGCAUGGGUAACUUACACAUCUGUGAAGGCUCCAUUAAUGCUGAAAGGUAAAUACAGGUUUUGGAACAACAUAUGCUGCCAUCUAAGCGCCGUUUUUUUCAAGGGCCCCUGCUUAUUUCAGCAAGACAAUGCCAAGCUACAUUCAGCACGUGUUACAACAGCGUAGCUUCGUAAAAAACGAGUGCGGGUACUUUCCUGGCCCGCCUACAGUCCAGACCUGUCUCCCAUCGAAAAUGUAUGGCACAUUAUGAAGCGUAAAAUACGACAGCGGAGACUCCGGACUGUUGAACGACUGAAGCUGCUCUACAUAAAACAAGAAUGGGAAAUUAUUCCACUUUCAAAGCUUCAACAAUUAGUUCCUAAACGUUUAUUGAGUGUUGUUAAAAGAAAAAGUGAUGUAACUCAGUGGUGAACAUGCCCUUUCCCAACUACUUUGGCACGUGUUGCAACCACGAAAUUCAAAGUUAAAUGUUAUUUACAAAAAAAAAAUCUUAUGAGUUUGAACAUCAAUA